ensembl:lncRNA
CAGCAGAGACAAGUACAAAACUAACUGAGCAGAGGGAGCCGGGCAGCACACAGGAACCUGUUUGCUGUGCUGGUAGCUGCAGCUGCAGACCUGGGGAGGAUGACUGGGAGAUGCAGAAAGUGGACAUUUUGCAAAAUCACAUGAGAGAGUACCCAGCUCAGCUUGCCUCAGUCCUGCUGUCUUGCUUCCCCAUGGAAACGCCGUGCUGCACCAUCUGCCAGUGCCUCCCUGCAGCGCUUUGAGCUCUGACCCCGGCCCCAUCUGAAAGGUGCAUGAACCCACCAGAAGUCUCUGCCUUUCUCCCCCAAAUCCCAUCCUCUUGAGUGGGGAGUAAGGAGGCUGUGAGUGCACCCAUCCGCCAUCCUGCUGCCCCCCCAGCUCAUGUGUGCUUCAGCUGACAAUUACUGCACAGUUAGUCACAGCAUGUCCUGCUUGCCUAGUGAGGGUGGGCAGGGAGCUGGGAUGGCUGUGGUGGAAUCCAGUUAUAAAGGACACAGAUUUGCAGGAAACUGGGCUUUACUUUCUGCUCAUGGAGAAACAUGUCCCAGUUGUCUGUUCUGGCGAAGUAUGCUAAAAUAUGCUCUCCAAACACAUAUAAUGCCCAUCUAGCAGCCCUGAGAGCAUUUGGGAGGUGGUAUGUUGGCUGGGCAUGAGAAGUGGGGAGAUCCCACAUCAGCACCCCAGCCUUAGCCCUGUGUCCUGUUGGCACAGCUGCGCUGGUAAAUGCCAGCGGUGGUGGCAUCAGGGCUGCCCCUCUGCUCAGCACAGCCCUACCACACUGACACGUUACACUGAAUAAAUGCAAAACCUUUAAGGAAGAAAUGAAUGUAGAUGCCAUGGGUAGGCUAGAGACUAAAGCAGUACUAUCAAGAAAGGGUUUCGGGGGACCUUGACUGUAACGAUGUCUCCUUGCCAUCCCAUAUGAAGACAGAUUUUUUACACCCGCAUCUGCAAACUGGGACUGAAGGGUUUGUACCAACCUCUCCUGAGAGGGGGCUGCCAGAAACUGGUGAAUGUGCAGCACUGGUCCCAUUUCCUUCUCCAUGGUGAGUGUGGGGCUGCUCUGUUCCAUCCCAGCCCAGGGAGGUGCACGCAGGUGGGUCCACAUCUCCAUCCUGUUGUCAGCAUGAAAUGCUGAGGUCCUCUGUGUCCUCCUGGGAGUAACUGUGAAAUACACAGAGAUGAAAUUGACCCUGAAAUGCUAUUUGUCUGCUAGGAAUUUUGUAGUCAAAGCUCCAUCUUGGCUUCUUAGUGACAGGAUGUCUUGUUUAAACACAGAAACAUUCUAUCAUCAAUGAGCAAAACUAUUUCAGCAGCAGUCAUACCAUGACUCUGAAGGCUGCUGCAAGUAUGAAUUGUUUUGAUGAUGUGUUAAAACAGUCACUGGGAUCACACAGUUUCUUAAUGCCUGCAAAUAUCUCAACAGAGAAUAAACAAAUAAUGAAGAAUGUUCUGGAUGCUUCACCACAUGGAUACCAGCAGACCAUAAUCCCUCCUGUUCUGAGACAAAGAUCAGAAGAGAAAAAAGGAACUUCUGCUUGUCUGGCUGUGCUUUUUGCCUAACACCUAUCACAACUUGUGCAAAUCCUCUCUUACAUACCUAUGUAUACAGAGAUUGAGGUCACAGCUGUAAUCCAACCAAAACCAACACAGCGUGCAAAAAGGAAACACGUCUUUGCCACACACUUUGUCCACUGCAGUAAACUGGAAAGUAAUUCCGCCUUAUGAGUUAAGACAAAACAGUAACUGGGAAUUCAAGUGCAAGGGCUGCUAAUCUGCCCUACUCGCUCAGCGUGUUAUCAGCCAGGAGAAUUAAACUACAUCUGAUAUUCAAAUGGACAGAAUGAAAUGAAGCGCAAAAUCGGCGAGCAAAUGGAACUCGGCUCCUCCAGCUCCGCUCACCCACCGCAGUGCGUGCACUCCCGCACCGGGAACCGCUCCGGCCCCGCUGGAAACGAGCGGCUGCCACCUGCCGGCUGCACAGCCCCGGGCCCUCUGCCCUGCUGCAAAACCCGGAAUAGCUGGGGAAUAAAAAAAGGAUUAAAUUAACAAACAGAAGCUAGGAAUGCAGUAAAAAGUCGCCGAGAAAUAAAUGAUG